rnacentral:lncRNA from 10 species
CCUGCGGCCUCUACCUUUGACGUCUUCCCCCGGGAGGUGGCGGGGGUCUGCGACCGAAUGCCGGCGGGACUCUGGGUCAGGGCUUCUGGCGGGCCCUGCGGGGGGCAGCGAGGUGACCGUGAACCUGCGGCUCAUGGCGCGGAAAGGAGCCAGGCGGCCGCGGCAAGGUCCGGGAUCGCACAAGUGGCUGCAACCAGGCUCUAGGAGGGAGAAAGAGCGGAUCCCCCAACCCCCUCCGCCCGCCCGCCCCCCGCGAGACGCGGCGCCGCGCAGGGUCCUAGUGCCCGCUGUGCGAAGGGUUCCUGAAUCUGGCCACUUCGCUGGGAGGCCCUGGGCUCCCCAGUGCCACCCGAAGGGCCUGAGGAGGCCAUCUGCAGAAUUUGACCACUCACUAAGAGGAGCUUAGUGUGGUGUCUCACGAAGGGAUCCUCCUCAGCCCUCACCUCGGUACUGGAAGACGUCGUGCGUGUCCAAAGGCACCCCGGGGAACAUCCGGUCCACCUCGCUGGCGCUCCGGGGAUCCACCAUCUGCGCCUUCACGUCGAACCUGCGGGCAGGCGCGGAGGAGACAGGUGCUGAGCCGGCUAGCGGACGGACCGACGGCGCCCGGGCUCCCCCUGCCGGCGGCCGCGGCGGCGCUCACCUCCAGAGGCGCCGCCCGCUGAACAGCAGCAUCUUCCCCCUGCCACUCCGGAGGGCCCCGGUCACCUGGGCCACGUCGGCUCCCAGGCCCAGCUUGUCCAGACGCCUCGGGCCCAGCACCGACGCGCCUGUGUACACCCACACCUGGCGCCCUGCAGGGGAGGAGGGUCACGUCGGUUUGGGGGCGCAGAGGGAGCACGUACUCCUAGAACGCGAGGAGGGAGAUUCCGGCGAGGCCUUUCCUAGCCCGCGUGCCCGCAGUCCCUGCAACCCAGGGGCAGAGGCGCUGGGUAGAGCGACGCGAGGGCGUGGAGAGGAGGGGGCAGAAACUCAGCCGCCCCUACGUUUGCUAAACUGCGUCCGCCAGGGGGCGUAUUUUUCUAAAACGCACAAGACGUUUCGUGGGUUAUCGAUGGUCUCUUGAGCCUCCUUGACUGAUGGGGAUUGACCGGGCGGGGGAGGGAAAGUAGGUAACUAACCAGAGAAGAAGAAAAGCUUCUUGGAGAGCCGCUCCUCAAAGACCGAGUCCAGCUUGCGGGGCAGCGCGGGCCACUUGUCGGCGAUAAGGAAGGGGCCCUGCGGCCGGCUCCCCCUGCCCUCAGAGAAUCGCCAGUACUUCCUGAGAAAGCGAGGAGGGAAAGGACGGGCUCUAAGCCUUGGACACAGGGCCAGUGGGCGGGAAGGGACGGGCAGCCCCUCCGCAAAGCCCCCUCCCGCAUCCACACAACCCCGCCUCCUCACCCAUCCUUGAACAAAUACAGCUGGUUCCCAAUCUCCGCGAUGGCGUCGAAGAUGUUCACGUUGCAGGCAUCGUCCACCGGACUCAAAG